rnacentral:rRNA from 1 species
UGGGGAAUAUUGCACAAUGGGCGCAAGCCUGAUGCAGCCAUGCCGCGUGUGUGAAGAAGGCCUUCGGGUUGUAAAGCACUUUCAGCGGGGAGGAAGGCGUUAAGGUUAAUAACCUUGGCGAUUGACGUUACCCGCAGAAGAAGCACCGGCUAACUCCGUGCCAGCAGCCGCGGUAAUACGGAGGGUGCAAGCGUUAAUCGGAAUUACUGGGCGUAAAGCGCACGCAGGCGGUUUGUUAAGUCAGAUGUGAAAUCCCCGGGCUCAACCUGGGAACUGCAUCUGAUACUGGCAAGCUUGAGUCUCGUAGAGGGGGGUAGAAUUCCAGGUGUAGCGGUGAAAUGCGUAGAGAUCUGGAGGAAUACCGGUGGCGAAGGCGGCCCCCUGGACGAAGACUGACGCUCAGGUGCGAAAGCGUGGGGAGCAAACAG